rnacentral:lncRNA from 1 species
GUGAUAUUAUGAACUUUUACAUUUAUAGAAAACAAAACAAAUUCCAAGAAAUGUAUAAGAAUAAGAAUAUAAGAAUAUUUAUUAUUGCUAUGAAGGGUCCUUGAUGGGCAGCAUAUCAUGUACACACAAAACAAUACAUCAUGAUUUGUAACAGAAACCACAUUUUUAUAAACUAAAAUGAAACAUUUAUAUGCCUGUAGGUAGGUGUUUUCAGACGCUCCUGUGCAUGACAAUUCUUUAUUAAAUUUUCAUCACCUUCAUCCUCUUUUUUUCUAUAUUCAAAAAAAUAAAUUGAAAAUUGUCAAUAUUUGUUUGGUGGUGCAUAUCGCAAUCACGUUUCCAACCUUUAUACUUUUGCUUUGAUUGUUUUGAAAUUAUUCAACAUGCAUCGCAAAGACAACAACAUGAAAACAUCACGAUUUUAUAUAAUUAAGUCAUUAACAUAAUUAAAAAAUUUCUGAUAAUGUAUCGAAGUCUUGUUUUGUUUACUAUAAAAUCGGUAGUAAGUUGUAAAUGUGUAGUAGAAAAUCUAGGC